GCCUAGAUGGCUCAGUCAGUUGAGCAUCUGACUUCGGCUCAGGUCAUGAUCUCAUGGCUUGUGGGUUCAAGCCCUGCAUCAGGCU
rnacentral:tRNA from 1 species